CCCAUUACUGAGCAUUUUCAGGACAACAUUAUUAGGCACAGUACGACAUUAAUGUUUAAAUAUAUAUGAAUUACCCAGGCUUAAUAUUAUAUAUUGCUCUUCUUUGUCGCCGGAGGAGCCACUAACAGCAGGCUGAAAGCCCACUGAAGUCCUGACCUUUUCUUUCCUUCUUUUCCUCAGGUGUUGAUAGGUGUAGCAAGUUAAACUGAUUCCUUGUCAGAUUCAAGGUCAUCUUGAGAACACACACUGAACAAUAUGCAGCACCAGAGGAAACUCACCAUUCAGCAGCACAAUGUUGCCGCAGAGGACACCCAAGUUCUAAAGAAGAGGGGAUACAGAAAUAGAAAUACAGAAACAUCCAAGUCCUGAAUUAAAGCACAAUUUAUUUUUUAACAUGCAAAAGACCUAUAAGAAGUAGGUGUCAAUCUGAUGAUGUACUGAUGAUGGUGUAUAUUGCAACGUCCCCUCUCCUGUAACAUCCAGUCAUCUAGGAUUAUACAGGAGUGAUCCAAACAGCACACCCGAAGGGAGAGUCACGCACAUGAGAGGAACUUUGAAUCCAUAUAGGUGAUAGAAUCUUAACUGUCAAAAAAUGUUAAGCGUGCUAAGUUUUUGUUUUGACAUCACGUAACUUUAAUUUGGUCAUGUUCCACACAUAGACAGCAAGCUCUGAUUUGUAAUAGGCAACAAGAAAAUGAGAGCAAACAAUAAACAAGCACAUAUUACAGUAAUGUAAUCAUAAAGACAUCUAAAGAAAUUAAAAGACAGAA